CCCGGACUACUUUGGAAUGUCCACAAAUCAGAAGCAGACUCAAACCAGAGGAAUAAAAAUGUGUCAUCCUCUGAAUCACCUCACCCGAGAAAUAUGAAGAAGCCAGCCCUGCUAUUCAUGAAGCUUCUUUCUCAAUGUUUCCUGUAGGUGUGGAAGCAGCAGCUGCCGCCCUGAGAGACCAGACACCUUAUCUGAGGGCUCCAUGUACCCCUGCUUGGUGAGCCUUCAUGUUACAGAAAGCAAACCUCAUCCAGCCCUAUCCUCAAAAUACUGUCUGGGGAAUUGCGUGUUUAUGGACUAAACCUGGAUAGUACACGUGAUAAAAGAACAUAGUCCCUGGAUGCAAAAUGAAUAAGUAAGAUAUACCUCACAGAAGCACACCUAUUGCAAAUCUGGAGCCUCAAGUUUAAUUGCCUUGAACUUGAACAGUGACAGAGCAAGAAAGGUAAAACACCAUAGAGGUUGCAGAAUAUCCUGCUUGAAGAGGAAGAAGAAGGGGAAGAUGUCAGCCAAGGGGACAUUUCUGCUGUGCCUUGAAGGACGGACUGAAUUUUUCCAGGAAGUCCAGAAAGGCUGCCAGAGAUGUGGAAGAAAGCCCAAAGAGCAUGGCAUCACCAAAACCAAGAGGGAAGGACAUUUCAAGGAGAGAGAUCUUUUCUGAUAUCCCUAGUGCCGAAGCAUGGGCUCUCACAUGCGGCUGUGGUGACAUCAGUGACCACGUGAAAACCAGAUACACAUCUACUGGCAAACUUCAGCACUGAAUUCAAAAUUGAUUCAGUAGUGAUUAGAAGAAAGCUGUGCCCAGAGAUGAUUUAGCGGAGGCAAUUACAAAAGGUACAUUUAAAUAUUGUUCUGGGAAACAUGAAUUUUUGCAUCCAUUAAACGACUCUCUUCAAAAUUAAUUUAGUUUAUUUUUGACUCCAAGUUUUCUUGUCCAUGUAGGAAAACUGAAGUGAUAAUAGUUAAUGAUGA